rnacentral:rRNA from 1 species
CACAAGCGGUGGAUGAUGUGGUUAAUUCGAUGCAACGCGAAAACCUUACCUACCCUUGACAUGUCAAGAAUUUUGCAGAGAUGUGAAAGUGCUCGAAAGAGAACUUGAACACAGGUGCUGCAUGGCCGUCGUCAGCUCGUGUCGUGAGAUGUUGGGUUAAGUCCCGCAACGAGCGCAACCCUUGUCAUUAGUUGCUACCGCAAGGAGCACUCUAAUGAGACUGCCGGUGACAAACCGGAGGAAGGUGGGGAUGACGUCAGGUCCUCAUGGCCCUUAUGGGUAGGGCUACACACGUCAUACAAUGGCCGGUACAGAGGGCUGCCAACCCGCGAGGGGGAGCCAAUCCCAGAAAACCGGUCGUAGUCCGGAUCGUAGUCUGCAACUCGACUGCGUGAAGUCGGAAUCGCUAGUAAUCGCGGAUCAGCUUGCCGCGGUGAAUACGUUCCCGGGUCUU